AGAACCUACCAAGUCUUGACAUCCCUCUGACCGACUCUUAACCGAGUCUUUCCUUCGGGACAGAGGAGACAGGUGGUGCAUGGUUGUCGUCAGCUCGUGUCGUGAGAUGUUGGGUUAAGUCCCGCAACGAGCGCAACCCCUAUCCCCAGUAGCCAGCAGUUCGGCUGGGCACUCUGAGGAGACUGCCAGGGAUAACCUGGAGGAAGGCGGGGAUGACGUCAAAUCAUCAUGCCCCUUAUGAUUUGGGCUACACACGUGCUACAAUGGCGUAAACAAAGGGAAGCAAGCCUGCGAAGGUAAGCAAAUCCCAAAAAUAACGUCCCAGUUCGGACUGCAGUCUGCAACUCGACUGCACGAAGCUGGAAUCGCUAGUAAUCGCGGAUCAGAAUGCCGCGGUGAAUACGUUCCCGGGUCUUGUACACACCGCCCGUCACACCAUGGGAGUCAGUAACGCCCGAAGUCAGUGACCUAACUGUAAAGAAGGAUGCUGCCGAAGGCGGGACCGAUGAC
rnacentral:rRNA from 1 species